CUUCAAGAUGAGACAUCCCCGAGGCCUCGAGCCUCCUAAAGGGCCCAGCGAGACCAGCUGGUGGAUAGCACGGUGUGGAAGCGCUGCAAGGCGUUGAGCUAACGUGUACUAAUGGCCCGUGAGGCUUGACCCU
rnacentral:ncRNA from 1 species